rnacentral:tRNA from 1 species
UAGAGCUUGAUUUAGAGUGUCUUAUUUACAUUAAGGAGGAACUGUUUGUUGCUUUAA